AGGGCACCACCAGGAGUGGAGCCUGCGGCUUAAUUUGACUCAACACGGGAAAACUUACCCGGCCCGGACACUGGAAGGAUUGACAGAUUGAGAGCUCUUUCUUGAUUCAGUGGGUGGUGGUGCAUGGCCGUUCUUAGUUGGUGGAGCGAUUUGUCUGGUUAAUUCCGGUAACGAACGAGACUCUGGCCUACUAACUAGACGUUAGAUCCUUUAUGGGUUUGACGAUGCUUCUUAGAGGGACGGGCGGCUUUUAGCCGCACGAGAAUGAGCAAUAACAGGUCUGUGAUGCCCUUAGAUGUUCUGGGCUGCACGCGCGCCACACUGAAGAAAUCAGCGUGUGUUCCCUAUCCGAAAGGUUUGGGAAACCCGUUGAACCUUCUUCGUGAUGGGGAUUGGGGAUUGUAAUUAUUCCCCAUGAACGAGGAAUUCCCAGUAGGCGCGAGUCAUAAGCUUGCGUCGAUUACGUCCCUGCCCUUUGUACACACCGCCCGUCGCUACUACCGAUCGAGUGAUUUAGUG
rnacentral:rRNA from 1 species